GCUCAGGACGAACGCUGGCGGCGUGCUUAACACAUGCAAGUCGAACGAUGAAACCGCUUCGGUGGUGGAUUAGUGGCGAACGGGUGAGUAACACGUGGGCAAUCUGCCCUUCACUCUGGGACAAGCCCUGGAAACGGGGUCUAAUACCGGAUAACACUCCUGCCUGCAUGGGUGGGGGUUGAAAGCUCCGGCGGUGAAGGAUGAGCCCGCGGCCUAUCAGCUUGUUGGUGGGGUAAUGGCCUACCAAGGCGACGACGGGUAGCCGGCCUGAGAGGGCGACCGGCCACACUGGGACUGAGACACGGCCCAGACUCCUACGGGAGGCAGCAGUGGGGAAUAUUGCACAAUGGGCGAAAGCCUGAUGCAGCGACGCCGCGUGAGGGAUGACGGCCUUCGGGUUGUAAACCUCUUUCAGCAGGGAAGAAGCGCAAGUGACGGUACCUGCAGAAGAAGCGCCGGCUAACUACGUGCCAGCAGCCGCGGUAAUACGUAGGGCGCAAGCGUUGUCCGGAAUUAUUGGGCGUAAAGAGCUCGUAGGCGGCUUGUCACGUCGGAUGUGAAAGCCCGGGGCUUAACCCCGGGUCUGCAUUCGAUACGGGCUAGCUAGAGUGUGGUAGGGGAGAUCGGAAUUCCUGGUGUAGCGGUGAAAUGCGCAGAUAUCAGGAGGAACACCGGUGGCGAAGGCGGAUCUCUGGGCCAUUACUGACGCUGAGGAGCGAAAGCGUGGGGAGCGAACAGGAUUAGAUACCCUGGUAGUCCACGCCGUAAACGUUGGGAACUA
rnacentral:rRNA from 1 species